rnacentral:rRNA from 2 species
UACGUAGGUGACAAGCGUUGUCCGGAUUUACUGGGCGUAAAGAGCGCGCAGGCGGUCGAUCAAGUCGAGUGUGAAAGCCCCCGGCUCAACUGGGGAGGGUCAUUCGAUACUGAUCGACUCGAAGGCAGGAGAGGGUAGUGGAAUUCCCGGUGUAGUGGUGAAAUGCGUAGAUAUCGGGAGGAACACCAGUGGCGAAGGCGACUACCUGGCCUGUUCUUGACGCUGAGGCGCGAAAGCUAGGGGAGCAAACGGG